UUCCCUGACAGUCCAGUGGUUAAGACUCUGCGCUUUCAAUGCAGAGGGCACGGGUUUAAUCCCUGUCUGGGAAC
rnacentral:tRNA from 1 species